UACGUAGGGGGCGAGCGUUGUCCGGAUUAUUGGGCGUAAAGAGCUCGUAGGCGGUUCGGCAAGUCGACGGUGAAAUCUCCACGCUCAACGUGGGAGGGGUCCGUCGAUACUGCCGUGACUCGAGUCCGGUAGGGGAGUGUGGAAUUCCCGGUGUAGCGGUGAAUGCGCGAGAUCGGGAGGAACACCCGGAUAGCGAAGGCGGCACUCUGGGCCGGACUGGACGCUGAGG
rnacentral:rRNA from 1 species